ensembl:lncRNA
CUUUCUUGGAUUAAGCCAUUGAGAAUUUAGGUUUAUGUGCUGGGGCAGCUAGCAUUGCCCUAAGAAAUGGGGUCCUGUUACUCACCCCUCUGAGCCUCAGAUUUCUCAUCCAUAGGAUGGGAGCAAUGAUAGCGCCAGCCUUGCUGUACUCAGGUCCAGAUCCCGGGAAAUGAAAUUUGGGGAUGCUCCUUGACCAACGCCGGGCUUUUUAGUGGUCCACUUCGGGGCCAGGCAAAGACAGAGGGGACCCGAUGGGUGACUCGAGAGAGAGGAGAAAGUUUCUUCUGCCCUUUUAGGUUCUGCGGCUGGACUGAGAAUUCAACUGACAUAAUAGUUUAACAGGAGAACGCAAUUGGAAGAAGAUCAUGACAAGUGGAGAGAGACUGUUGAAGAAAGGAACAUGCUUCCUGUUUUAGAACCUUCACACGCUUUUCCCAGCUCUGUGAACAGGGGCCAUGUGUUUUCGCUUUGCACAGGGCCCCUCAAAUUCUGUAUGGGGCCCUGAUGGGGAGCUAAGGAGUGAGGACAAAGGACAGCUGACCGAGAGCAGAGCAGCACAGUGGGCACCUACAGUCCAGGAACCAAACCGCCGCUGUUCACUUCUGCCCGUGGUAUCGCAGACAAGACGGUCACUGGCACCUGCCUCCUUCCACCUGUGAAAUGGGGAUAAUGAUGGAACUCACCUCCUAGGGAGCUGCCGUGAAGUUUCAUGCUGUCCUCACAGCAAGCUUGUCAUGAGUCUCCCAGUAGAUGUCAGUGUCGUAAUCAUCAACGCAACCCUUUAGCAAAUGUGCUACAGAGGGCACAGCGCCAAGGGCUAUGAGGCAUCAGGAGGUGACGUGAUCCUGUCCUGGAGGGACUUGCAGUCAGAUGAAGAAGGGUCCCGAGUAAUUACGCUGCAUGAAGACCGUCAUGGAGACUCGGGGGCUCAGAGGAGAAGGAGCUCCUUCUAGUUGGGGGAAUCCAAGAAGAUUUCAUGGAAGAAAGGGGAUGGGGGUGAAUUGUGUCCCCAGAAAGACAUAGUGAAGUCUUAACCCUGGUCUCUGUGAAUGUGACCUUAUUUGCAGACAUAAUCAAGUUAAGAUGGAGUCGUACUGGAGAAGGGUUACCUUGAAUCCAAUACGGCUGUGUCCUUAUAAGAAGAGGACAGAGACGCACAUGUGAUGAUCAAGGCAGAAACUGGGGAGCUGUGUCUACAAGCCAAGGAUCACCAAGGAUUGCCGGCAGACCCCGGGAUGUGAGAGAAAGGCGUGCAUGGAUGUCCCUCCAGAGCCUCUGCAGGGAGCAUGGCCUUGCCAACGCCUUUUCCAGCCUCCAGAACUGGGAGACAAUGUUUCUGUUGUGUUAGGGCAUUAUGUUGGUUGCACUUGGCUAUAGUGGCCCUAGGAAGGUUUCCAGGGUGGGUACAGGUGUUCCAGCUGUGGGCUGGCCCACGAGUGGAGGUUUACACAACAAGAAUCGUGAGGCAGUGGUUCCCAAAGUGUGUUCCCAUGAGUCACAGCAUCCUAUCGCCUGGGAGUCAUUUCUCUGGUGACGGAAGAGUCAAAACUCCCGGGUGGAGCCCCGCUGUCGUGUCUUAACAAGUCCUCAGUGACUCUGCUGCAGGUCAGCGUGUGGGAACCGCCACGAGCCAGGACUGUCUGCCCGUCGUCUGUACAGCAGAGCGAUGGGCGGGUUCGGCUGCGAAGUUAGGGGAAACCAAGCCAUGGAGGCCUUAGAAACCCCACUGAUGAGUUAACCCUCGUAUGUUAGAAUAGAGAGUCUCACGGGCUGGAGACGGGGACAUGGGUGCCGUGACUCUCAGAAGCGGCCCAGGCGGGAGGAGGAGCCGGCUUCCGAGGAGGGCACCAGCUGAAGGUGCAGGGCCAGCAUUUGGCAGAGAAGGGAGAUGGCGGAUGUGGGCUUUGGCCACAUAGAGAAGGGGCUGAGAAUGGCGAAGAGGUCAAAUGGAGCGAUACGAAAGAGCUUAGAAGGAGAAGCCAUAUGUGUGUGUACAUGUGCAUGUGUGCAUGUGUGUCCUCUCCUUUCCUCCCCAUGGUUCGUGCCUUCAGUGGUCCAGGAUUGUCUUCCCAUCACUGCUGACCCCUUUGGGGCGUCAGAGGAACAAAGCAGAGAUCCAGACCAUUGCCUGCCAACUCAAGGUGCAGCCCACCGUGCGCUCAGGUGCAGCCUUCCCUCCAUCCAGGUGUGUGAGAGCAGUAAGCCCACACCUGCAGGUGCUUCUCAUCACGCUGGCUGUGGCGGGUUUGGCCCUGAUCCUUGCACCUGGUUCUGGCAACUGGAAUGAUCCAUGUGCAACCAGUAACCUUGGAGGUGCCAGGCCUGGUGAAUAUUCUCUUCUGAGCAGAACUUUCAAAAGAUACAGAUGUAUGCUACAUAACCCUCCUUCAAUUUGGUGGUGCACUCAGGCUGACAGAAAGCUCACAACCACCUCACGGCCCUCCUCCAUCCUCUGGCCAGAGAUCUCCUUGUGUGCAGUGACAGUGGGUCGGUGCUGGGUCACGGGGCAUGGCUAUUUCCUUCCACUGCCUGCGCUCCUGCGGCCCACACUCAGCCUUCCCUCUCUUGCUCACAUACCAACUACAGGUCUGCUUGGGAAAAGCCAUUCCUGCGAGCUCUCGGAUAAUCGCCGUGGGGGCCAGUUGGUAUUUUCCCUAAAUGUCGCUCUCAUUUGAUCUGCAUCCAUCUAGAAUAGUGUUCAAACCUAGGCUCCGUCACUGGCCCGACGAUGACUUUGGGUACCUGCUCAACGACAGAGAUUCAUUUCUUCAUCCUCAAACAAGAACCACAAAACCUGCCACAGAGAGCAGCUGUCGCACCCAAUAGGGGCGUGAUAAAAGGUUAACCCUCCUUCCCUGUGACUAUGCCUCUCUUGGGCUAAUACUGUCAGUAAAACUGACCUCACAAAGCCACCUUUCCCUUGGUCACCUUGACCCCCUUUCACCAAGGUGAUCACCCAACCACCUUGACCAGGACUGUCCCUUAGCUCCCAGAGAUAAACAUCCCCCAGACAGGGACAGAAAGUGAGCUCCUCAUACACAACCGAUGCUUCCAGACACGUCUGCUGGAUCCCAGGAUGCGGGUCCAAGAAGGGCCAGGUCCAGUUUUCCAAUCCACAGAGGAGCCCAAGAAGCAUGGAGGGGGCCUCCUUCAUGCAAGCUGAUGGUGUGGCCUGAGUCUUCUCAGGUUUUUGGAAGCUGCGCUUGGGGACAUCUGGUGUCUGUCUUCUCAUUUGGUGCUGAGUUCCCCGGUCAUCCUGUUAGUGCUGCGAGGCAUCUGGAACCCCAGGCUUUGGGGCUCCCUGCCAGGCCUGGUCUGCCUGUCAUCCUGCACCUCCUGCCCAACCCCAGGACAGCCGCCGGCCCAGGGAAGGAUCAGUCACUGUGGAGGCAGCUGGUGGCUUUGGGGAUGUUAGGCUCUGUCGUCUUUAU